AGUAUCAGACUUUAGUUUAGGGGGUCUCCCUCUGCCUCGAGGCUUAGAUGAUGGCUGUUGCUCAUCUUGAUGCUGAGGAUCUUUGUUCAAAGGUGCUUUUGGUUUAGGAGAUCUUUCCAUGCUAGAAAGGUCAAGCUGCUGCUCUGGAUCUUUGUGCCAUUCAAGAAAAGCAGGUGAUUCAACAGAAUGUAACUUGGCUUCCAUUUGUUGAUUAGAGAGAAUCAUAUCAGUAUCAGACUUUAGUUUUCGGGGUCUCCCUCUGCCUCGAGGCUUAGAUGAUGGCUGUUGCUCAUCUUGAUGCUGAGGAUCUUUGUUCACAGGUGCUUUUGGUUUAGGAGAUCUUUCCAUGCUAGAAAGGUCAAGCUGCUGCUCUGGAUCUUUGUGCCAUUCAAGAAAAGCAGGUGAUUCAACAUAAUGUAACUUGGCUUCCAUUUGUUGAUUAGAGAUAAUCAUAUCAGUAUCAGACUUUAGUUUACGGGGUCUCCCUCUGCCUCGAGGCUUAGAUGAUGGCUGUUGCUCAGGAUCUUUGUUCACAGGUGCUUUUGGUUUAGGAGAUCUUUCCAUGCUAGAAAGGUCAAGCUGCUGCUCUGGAUCUUUGUGCCAUUCAAGAAAAGCAGGUGAUUCAACAGAAUGUAAUUUGGCUUUCAUUUGUUGAUUAGAGAGAAUCAUAUCAGUACUAGACUUUAGUUUACGGGGUCUUCCUCUGCCUCGAGGCUUAGAUGAUGGCUGUUGCUCAUCUUGAUGCUGAGGAUCUUUGUUCACAGGUGCUUUUGGUUUAGGAGAUCUUUCCAUGCUAGAAAGGUCAAGCUGCUGCUCUGAAUCUUUGUGCCAUUCAAGAAAAGAAGGUGAUUCAACAGAAUGUAAUUUGGCUUCCAUUUGUUGAUUAGAGAGAAUCUGUGGGUGAGGAUGCUGCUCUGACAAUAGAUCACAAAUAAGUUCCUUCUGUUCACAAGGGCUUGUAAU
rnacentral:lncRNA from 1 species